rnacentral:rRNA from 1 species
UGACUGUUUUUACAAAAACAUAGCCCUAGAAAUUAUCUAAGGUGUAACCUGCCCAGUGGCUUUUAUUAUCAGAGUGCAGAUCUGAGGAAUAAAGCUAAAAGGACGCGGUAACCUUGACCGUGAUAAUGUAGCAUAAUCACUCGCCAUUUAAUUGAUGGAUAGUAUGAAUGGUUGAACGAGUAUUUCACUGUCUUAGAAAGAGUUAAGGGAAAUUGAAAUGAUAGUUAAGAUACUAUCUAAAAUUGUAAGACGAAAAGACCCUAUAGAGCUUAACUAUACCCUCUUUCUUAAUAGAAUAAAAUAGUAUUUUUGGUCGCAGAGAGGUUGGUAGUUUAGUUGGGGCGACUGUCUUUUACACACAACAAAGACAAGCAAGGUUAAUAACGAAUUUACUGUAUAAUUAAAUUAUUUAACAGUUACGAUAGUAGGCUAUAAUGACCCGUCUCUUCUUAGUAAAAAGGGAGACGAUUAAUUGAUAAAAGCUACCUUAGGGAUAACAGGAUAAUUUCGUUAGAGUCCGAUCGAAUCGAGUG